rnacentral:lncRNA from 1 species
GUCUCCCCGCUUGGGCACGGGGCUGUGCGCGACGCAGUGGACGGGUGCGGGGCUCAGCGAGGGACUCCCGGGUCCAUAGAGAUCUGGGGAGGGUGGGGGGAGCAAGGACGAGUGCCUGCCGGGACCCCCCUGGCUCCUCGCUCCCAAGGAGUCGAGGGGAACGUCUCUACCGCGCUGCAAAGCCAGCAGGUAACUUUGGGGAGGUGCGGGCCAGGCCAGCGAGCAGCACUCGGCCCAGGCGCCGCGGGGCGGACGGAUUGGAAGCCGGAUGGAGGCGUGGCCGGGUGGGGGCCGCGGCGGCGGGGAGGCGCGUUCCCGGCGCGCAGAGCUCUAUUGUUAUAUAAAAGUGCCGAAGCCUGCCCCUCCCGAGCGGAAAACCACCUGUGUGCGGCCGGCGCGGCGCGAGAGGGAUGCAGCCGGAAGGCGCGGGCCCUAAUCCGGCCUUCCCUCCCUAAACCCCGGCGGAAAAGAGGCCGCGCUUUGUCCCACCGCUGCCUGAGAGGCGGAAGCGGGGGCAGCCGUCCGGCGGGGUGCGGCUUUGGGGAGUGUCCCUUGCUGCGCUUUGCGCCUACCGUGAACACCGCGAGGGCGCCUAAGGUCGCGGGGUCUCCCUUCGCCCGACGCCCCGCACCCACGGGCAUGCCUGCUAACACCCCCGCUGCAAUUUGCAUUUUUAGUCACCCGCCUCUUCCCUGGUUUGGGAAAUGUAGGCUAAAAAAAGGCGGCUGCGAGGCCUAGGUUGCCAAUUUUGGAGCUCUGCUUCAGGCAGGCCGCCCCUGGAGGAGCGUGUUCGACAAAGGUGGGGAUUGCCGAGCUCCUCUCCGCACCAUUUUUGGGCAGUCCUUGGAACAAAACUCGUAUAUUUCACUGGGUAUCUUCUAGUUUCAGCCGGGGGAGGCCUGCGCUGGAGUUGACUCCCCCUGUCCUCCACGAUCUGUCACAGAAGUUCCCACCCCGAGACGUUUCAGUCAUUGGGACCUGGGGACAGGGAGGGAAGAGGCAGGAUGCCCUUCAGCGGAACUGAGAAGAGCAAACCUGUUGGAGGUUCAGCACAGGACCUCCAACAGAAGAGAAAGGGAGGGAAGUUGGGUUUCUACUUUGCCUGUUUUAAUACGCAGCUACUUGAGUAUGACUAUAGAUUCGGGAGGAUACAUCGAAACUGUAGUUUUACCCAUGCUUCUGAACUUUAUCGCCAAGGGAAUGCCAGUGUUUCCUGGCGCAUUGAUUAAAGUGGCGUUCUGACUGCUCAGUACUAGAAAUGCUGCGAAAAGGGCUUCUGGAGUGGGACGGCCCUCGUUUGCAUUAUGUCCCCCGCUUCUUCCUAGGUAAGCGCCCUUAGUUAAAUCAUUUAGCCGUUCUAAGUUGCAGUCUUCCACGUCGGCAUAACGAAGAUAAAACUAUCUGCUUCAUAGGGUCCCUGUGACGACAAAAUGGGUACGGUGAAACGUCCUAAAGUGGUGGUGGGGUGCUAUUAGCCGUUGGAAUUAAUUUUUCAUUCUGAAUUGAGGACCUGUAAAAAGGCCUCGGCUUGGGGACACGGUUUGGGCAUCCCACAGAUGCCCCUUGAGGCUCGCUUGACAGCCCGCCUGGACUCGCUCAUCUGCAGCAAAGCCCUCUGAGAUACUACCCUAACCGAUUUAAUCCGUUCCAAUUCAGCUGUCAAGUAAAGGGGGUGUUAUCGUAGACCAGGAUCAAAAAUCCUUUAGCACAGUUAUCAGAAUGGACCCAGCUACAUUUCUGAUUUCUCCCUACUGGUCACCUUUGGAACACGCUGUUCUCCAGCCACAGCAAACUGAUACAACAAUGCAUAUUGGGCACUUAACUGCAUGAUGGGUACCGUCUUGUUUCUGUGUUUACUUGCAUAAUUUCGGACAGUCUUCAGAAAAAACAUGUAAAUUAUCCCAUUUACAAAGAUUAAAGAAUUUGCCCAAGGGCACACAGUAGCAACAGAGUGUCAAGACGUGAGGCCAAACCCUUUACAGACUCUUAAGGAUGCCCACAUGCACGGAUUACAUAGAGUGUUAUGGACACUAUAUUCACCUCCACGUGGUAUUCCCUGCCCACAUGUGAAGAAUUUCAAGGUCAGCAUUUUGAAUUUUGACCUCCAGGCUUUCUCCAGCCUCACGUUUUCUGUUGCAUCCUCCAUGUCAAAGAUCAAAAGCGAGGCUGCUUUCCCUGCUCCUUUUACACACCAGUGGUUUUCUUUGCACGCAACCCUUCAUCAGUCAAACAUUCACUAAAUGUUGCAUAUUUUAUCUCUCUUAGAAUAUGCCCUAGAUCCUAAUCUUCACAAGUGUCAUUGGUUAUCUAGUGCGUCAGCACAGCACAUAAGCCUAGGUUCAAACCUCUGUCACUCAGUAGUAGUCUGGGCCUCACUUCAUUCAUUCAUUGAUGCAUUUAUUCUAGAUUCCAGGAAAGCAGUAGAGAAUAAACAGACAACAAUAACCUGCCUCACUGAAGUUUACAUUCUAAUGAGGACAGUCCAAUUAACAAAACAAAUAAUUAUAUAUUAGAAAGUGAAAGCGCUAUAGAGAAAAAGCAAGAAAAGGAAUUCGGAAGUGUGUAACAUUGGGAAUAUAUAUUCCUCCCUCAAAGGACUGUGAGGAUUAGACACAACUGAGAUGACACACGAGAAGUGUAGGGCACAAAGUCGGUAUUCAGAAGAUGAUUUUUAAAAUAUCACCACUUCAUUCCUGCAUAAGGAAUGCUGUUGGUGGUGAUAUUGCCAUUCCUGUGAGGCACUGAGGAAAAGCUCUCUUAGGAGAUAAGGGCUGUAGUAGUUGGAAGAAUUACAGGCUUCCUUAAUUCCAGAGGCCUCAGUGCCCUUCAGAGGAUAUCAUUCAUAUGAAGAGGUCUGUAUUUAAAAAUUGGAGAUAGCAGAUCAUCUGUGAUCCAUUCUCAUGAGUGCAGAGAAGCACUUUCAUAGAUUCUUGUUUCUUCCUCUGUGUGUGUGUGUGUGUGUGUGUGUGUAUGUAUGUGUGCACCGAGCACCUGUGCUUGUGCUUGAAUUCCUCCUGGUGUUUCCCCCUGGAAAGUUCCUUAAAAAUUGUUAGUUAAAAAAAAAAAAUUUUUAAAGCAGUGUAUUUUGGUUAUAAAAUUUUCUCUAGGCCAUUUGAGAAACAUUCCACUUUUGCAGGAAUUUUCCUGAGUUUGAGGGCACUUGAGAUUUAUAAGAUGCAAAUGGGCUAGCAUGACCUUUAAUCUUCUUGGAAUAAUCUCUGUGAAUACAAUGACAUUUAUUAACACAUCAUGUGAAAACAGUUAAACAGAUUUUCAGCAAAUAAGGAGAGUUUUGGAAGUUCUGACUUAAAAUGUAAAUGCAUUUAGGGGUCCCAGGUAGGCCCUCAAAGUGACAGUGGCUUUCAGUGCAGCUAAAACUUCAAAACUGAAUUUAACUGUAUUUGAAGGAUACACCUGAAAUAGUAUGGCUUAAUGUAAAAUGUAUAUGGGUUGCACAAAACUGUCCCUAAGGUCUUCUGAUGAGUGCUUUUAAAAGAUACCAAGAAGUUGUACCACAACAGUAGCAACCGAGAAACACAAGAAGCCUAAGGAACUGACAGUAGGUAACAUGACUUACAGGCAGUGAUAGGCUGUGAGAAAGCCAAAGGGAAUUUCAAAUAGCCCCCAAUUAAAAUUCCAUGAGGGCAGCCCCUGGGAAUUGCAGAUCCAGGUUUGCAAUCAAACUGCUUCUCACGUGGAAGCUCCGUGCAGCUUGCCCCAUGAUGAGGAGCUGCAAGGGCUUAUUGAGCACGGGUUAAUGAUUUCUCCAAACAAUGCGGGGGAAGGGGAAAGGCAGGCUAGGUUAGACCUCAAGGCAGAGGUAGCUGGACAGCAACACCAGAAUCACACCCACAAGCAUAUCUAGGGGGAGAUUGGAGCUUCCCCAUGAACGAGAUGGCACAUUCACGCAUUGCCAGGAUGAUACCACCUGAAGAAAAACAUGAACUAUUGUGAAAUUCAGACCUUAGCCAAUUUGGCUAAGCUUUUAAAAAUUACGGUCUUCGUCAGCUUUCUUGCAUUUCUGUUUCCCGUCAUCUGAUGAAAGACAAAUUAAUUUACAUUCAGGCUCCUGUAGAGACUUUAUCUAGAAUUUUUUUAAAAGCUAGACGGUCUCUAGCAAAGAAAUUCAUUAAAAGAUAGCAAUGUUAAUUUUUUAUUUCAGAUGUUUUAAUUCCAUGCCUUCCACUGGGAAAAUAUUCAUUGAUUCUUCUUCCUUAUCCUUUAUUUUUACAAAGCAGGAAAUGUAAAAAGCAUAUAUAAAUGUAUAUAUAAGAAACUCAUGACGUUGGCAUUUCUGCAGUACAUUUCUGAGUAAGCGCAUUUACCUUCUUUUGGAAAGGAGUUGACGGUACCUUGUUUCCCGUUGUACUAUUUUGAAAGCCCCAGCGAUGAUCCUUAGUGGGAAAGUAUAGCUUACAUUGCCAGCCAGGUAAGUGAGAGACUAUAUGUAUUCAGCUCUCCAAAACCUUCUCAUGUCGUGUCAUGAAGCACCACAUGUGUGGUGUCGGGCAUUAUCCAUGUUGCAUCUUCAUGUGGAAUAUUUGCCGUGAGCCUCCCUGUGUGGGCUGUUUCCUCUGGUGACUUUUCUCUCCAUCUUGUGUUGCUUUAUUUACGCAGGUGUGAGUAGUACAUAUAGCUGUUGUGUAAGAGAACUCAUUAUUUUCCUAAGUGGGUACUAUUUCCUGCCACCCUAUUUUUGCUUCAGAAAUCAGUGGAAGUAACUGUGUGUGUCCACAAUACAGGAAUGCUUUAGCUCAGUUUUUCAAACUUUAAGAACUUGCAGAUCCCCCAAGAAUAUAUUAAUAGAACCCUAGGGAGCCCCAAACUCCAGUCUAAACAACACUGCUUAAGGCUGUUGGUGGGUUCAUUAUAAAAGUUAUAUCUGGACAUAUCAUGAAAUAACAACAUAGUGGCUACAACUUAUUCUACACCAACCAUUGUACGGGUUAAAUCUAACCAUUGUGAUAACCUUGCAAAACAGGUAUACCAUUAUCACAACUUUAAGGUGGGGAAGCCUGAGCUCUAAUGUCAGGUAAUUUAUGCUGGAAUCCAAACUUGCAUCUCAGUCCCUUCAAAGCUCCUUAGUACAUACACACUGCUGCCAACCUGAUGAGUGGCCCUGAAUGAAUUCAACCUGGUAUACCAUGAUAGCUUCUACAUAAUUUGUUACACUUUAUCUUGCUAGUCAAGACUAGGACUUGUGGAAUCAGCCCAACCUGGAUUCUAAUCCUGGCUUACCUACUUUCUGGCCCUAUGACUCAGGGAAACCAUUUCAUCUCCCCAUGUCUCAGUUUCCUUAUCUGUAAAAUGGGAAUACUCUAUCACAGAGCUAUUGCAAUCAAUGAUUUAUAUUUGUAAAGUGGGUAGAAACAGUCCUAGAACAAUAACUCAUUGAUUGCUACCUGUUUUUAUUGUUACACACACACACACACAUAUACACACAAUUCUUUUUUUUUUCUUUGAGACAGUCUCACUCUGUCACCAGGGUGGAGUGCAGUGGCACGAUCUCGGCUCACUACAACUUCCGCCUACCAGGUUGAAGCAAUUCUUGUGCCUCAACCUCUCAAGUAGCUGCAAUUACAGACGUGCACUACUAUGCCCAGCUAAUUUUUGUAUUUUUAGUAGAGACAGGGUUUUGCCACAUUGCCCAGGAUGGUCUUGAACUCCUGGCCUCAAGUGAUCCACCAGCCUUCCAAAGUGCUGGGAUUACAGAUGUAAGCUACCGCACCCAACCACAACUCUUAAUAAAUGUUUAUUGACUUUGCUGAAAAGGGAUCAUAUAACAAAAAAACACUAUAGUGUUAAUUUAGUUCUCAGGAAGAGAAAAACAAUCCAUACACAUUUUUUGAAAAAAGUUUCAAAGAACAGAAUCAACUGCUUUACGGCCCCUCUUAGUUGCUGAUAUAAGCAACCCAGAAAUUGAGGUUUCUUAAUGGGCUGAGAUACCUGGAUAGUUUGGGGACAGUGAAAACACACUGCGUACCAGGGGUUCCCCAUCACUCUAGGACUCACCUGCUGAAGUAGCAGGCACUUUCCCUGCUCCAUCAAUGCUGGCUCAUAGCUGAUCCUAUGGACUGCAUAUUGUGCAAGAGGAGAAUUGGAAAUCUACUAGCCUGAGCCACAUAGCUGUCGUCUCUCAGUAAUCUGGGUUCAAGGCAGCUAAUGGAAACACACAUUUAUAUUAUGAGUCCUGCAUAUAAGAAGUCCCAUUCUCUGGGAAUCUCCUUUCUCCUUCCGACUUCAUGCCCAGCAGGAGCUUUUCAGAAUACAAGGAGGGGGAAGAGGGGAGGGUCAGAGCUGAGCAUGAGAGCCACUCUUCUGUGACUGGAAGGAAACUUCCAUUCAUGGACAGAUGAGAAAGCCUGUGCUAGAAGCCACCUUGUAGAAACAUACCCAGGUUUGAGUAAACAGACACCUGCUUAGCACAGUUUCCAUACUAAUUUUUGCACAUAUAUGAUUCCAAGAUUAUUUUUAUUAAACAUCCGAUAAGUAUAUAUCCUUUGGUAUAAAUCCAUCAGGUUUUGCUGGACCUACCAGAAGUUUUAGAUUCCUUACCCAAACCUCCAAAGUGUAAACCUGGCCGGGCGUGAGCCACUGCACCUGGCCUAAAAACAAAUUAUUUAUGUUCUUGAAAUUGGUGCACUUACAAUAUGUGGUAGAGGAGGUGUGGCAGGACACAUGGACCUUGCAUGACCAAGGUACAAGACAGCAGACAGCUCAACUGUCUGUGUCAUGGUGCGGCUUCCAGCACUGAGCCUAGGAUCCUGCCCCCAUGAGAUGACACGACCUGCAGGUUCACCUUUAGAACAUUGCUGACUUCAGUGUGGCCCUUUCAUGCAAUGUGCUGUUAAUUAGAGUACUUAUGGCAGAGAGAAGGACUUUUUCCCAGUGUGUAUAACUGUACCUACUGCUAAAGCAUGAUUUUUAAUCUAGUUAAAUUUGCUGUGAAAUUUACAUUUAUAGUGAGAGUGAGAUGAAGUGUGGUGUGGAAUGUAACCUAAAUCUGGAGCCUCUAACUACUAACCCCUGAUUUUGAUCAAAAGAAUCUGACAAGUACUCUAUAGACAAACUGGCUUAAAAGGAAAGCUUUUUAAAAAAAUAUAGGUGCCCAAGUCCCAUAACCAGUAAUUCUGAUUUAAUUGAUGUAAGGUGGAUCUUGGCAUUGAUAUUUUCCAAAAGCUGCCCAGAGAAUUCUGAUAUGUGGCCUGGACUAACAACUGGUUUAGAAGCAUUCACAACAAUCAUCCCCUAACAGUCCCUUGCCUAGGCAGAGGUUUCCAGUGAGCCCAAGAGCUUCCCACCCAGACCAGUAGGUCUAGAAAUGAAAUGUUUAGAAACACCUGGAGGUACUUGCUCUCAGUCCAUAUCCUGGCCUACCCGACAGGGACUCUGAUUCGGAAGAUCUAGGGAUGGGCUCAGGCAACUAUAUUGUAGUCCAGCAGCCAGCAGUGGCUUAUACAGGUGGACCAAACUUUGAGAAGCUUCCAGUGACAUCCCAGAUAGUCAGAUUCCUCACUCAUCCACUCUGUUCAGCAAUUGUAGAAAUGUUCUUGAAGUAACUGGAAAGAUGAGUCAAAUAGUAUUCUUUAGACACAAGCAUCAGAACUUCGUAACAGGAAAAUGCUGUGUCAGGCAUAACUAAUCUGCUUGCCCUUGUAAAUGCAACUCUUGAACUGGUAUGCACUCUGAUGAGUUAUUUACUGGUGAAACCUGUCACAAAGCGUUGGGAGAUUACAAAGAACAGAAGAAGGUAUCUUGGUGGCAGCAUCGUGUGUUUAUUGAACACCCGUUGUGUGUCUAAAACUGAAAUGACUGCUGGGGCUUAUGAAAAUGAGUGAGAUUCAGGCCCUGCUGUCACAAAAAAAUAUAAGUCUAACUGGGGAGGUUAGACAUGUGCCCAGGUAGCUAGAAUGUAAUGUAAUAAAUGUGGUCAUUGCAGUAGAAAGGAAGUGCUAUGGGAACAAGAGGAGGAAAUGGUUCAUCUACCUUAGGGUGGGAGGUGGAAGGUAGAGGUGGGGUGCUGGGAAGUGUCCCAGGGGAGGCAGCAUCUGAGUUAGAUUCCCCAGGGAGCAGAUUUCUCACUGUCCCCAUCCAGUGGGAUAGGAGAAGAACCACACACACUCUGGGCAAGACAGAAAGAUGACAUGAGCUAAGGUUUGGAGGGAUGGACAUGUGUGACCAGUGCAGUGCAGGUGAAUGGUAUGGAAGGCAAAGAUUGGCAGAGAAUACAGGAAAGGUAGUGUAGUGCCAGAUGGAAAUGGGCUUUGGAUGUCAUGGUAAGAAGUUUUGAAUUUUUCUUUAGGUGAAGUCAUCAUAGAUAUUUAUACAGGGGUGUGACAUGAUUUCAGGAUAUAAUUCUGUAACAAAGGGGGCGAGUAGACUGGAAGGGAGAGAGAAACUGGGGGCAGGAAAACCAAUUAGGAAGCGAUUGCAAUUGUCCAGAAAAAGGAUGCAGUACCACCACGAUCAUCCUCUUCCUAAAAUAAUGUAUUCAUCAACCUGCUUAGUUUUAUUCCUCCUAUUUCUGCAGCUAGAAAAAUCACUUAGCCCUCUUGUGACUCAGAAUUUCUCCCUAUUAAUAGAAGAUGACAGAAUACUUAUCUCACCUCACACAGGGAGAUACUGAGAGAUGCUUGCAAUUGUAGCCACGAAAGAGGGGGAAAUGUUAUUCCAAAUGCCAGUGGCAGUAAUUACUCUGGAGUAGUGAGGGGAGGGACACUGCCUUUCCUCACUAACAGUCCAUUAUAAAAAUUUCAAACCUAUAGAAAAGUUGAAAGUUGAGUAAGAGCAUCAGAAAUACUCUUUGGAGGGAAGCUUCUGCAGAAAUUCCAAGUACUCACCACCCAGGAAGUGGCAUUUCCAAUCUAAGGGCCCAUUGCCUUCAGGAUGAGAAUGCCAUUGCAGCCUAUUUGGUUACAAACAGUGUUCUAUAAUAUGAGAUUUUGUAAAGAAAGGCCCAUUUUCCCAUUGUUUUCCAUUACAAACAAAAGUGUAAGGAAUGAUAUUCUUAUUAUUCCUAUUGCUGAAAUGGGGCUGGGGAGGGCCAUAUUUGAAGGAGUUAUACCAUCAUCUACAUGCUUUCAAGCUGUGUUUUGCCCUUUGGGGUUUGGAGUCUGCCCUUGUAGCAAGAGGCACGUAGUCAUACCUUUUCCAUCUGCUGCUGGGCCCCUUCCCAUACUAGGUCUCCAUUUCAGCACCCUGGACCACAUCAGAAUUCUUUCUUGUUUUUGGAAAAGCAUCAUUGAUAUCUACCGCAGGGUGUGUGACAGACAUAAACUGCUUUAAGUUUUGCCAAAAUGACUGUGUCUUCUACCUUUGAAAAAAAAUCUGUGCUCUCUAUAUUUGCUGAGUUGGUAUAAGAUAUUCCAAGGGAUAAAAAGAUAAAUAAUGAAGAGACACUGCCCUCAAGAAGCUAACAGAUAGGACUGUGACCUAAUGAAGAAGUUAGGAGGGUAGCAUUCAGUGCUUUUUUAGAACAGUAUCAACUUUCAAGAUUCAAAAGGAUGGUCGUGUUCAAUGACUGAUGGAGUCCUUCCAACUGGAAUGGGGUGAUUUGAACUUACAAUGAGGAAACCCAAAGUACUUCAUUUUAUAUAUGAAAAUCAAAUGGUUAUUGAGUGAUAUAAUAAGGAGACCUAUCAGGAAUACGUAAGGAGAAGAUAAUUUAUGCUCCUUUCUAAAGUACAUUUACGUAAGUAAUGAAUGAUUAGCUCUUUCAAAUGGAAAUGUUUUCUCUAGUACAGUAAAUUAUUCUGAUUCAUUUGUUCACUCUUAACAUGCAUUUCUUGGAAAACUUACUGGCAAAAUUUGUCACAAAGCAAUUAGGAGACUACAAAGUACAGAAGAAUAGCCUUUAAAUCCUUACACAAAUUAGUUCUUAUUUUAAGGACAGUUUAAAUCUCACAACAUCACAGCCUGCUUUUGCAUGCACUCUUUCAUUUACUUGUUAGAUUCCUUUACUGCAAAGAGCUCAAGGAAAACAACUAGAAACAAACCAUGGCUAUGCUGACAAGAAAGUGUCAGUUAUAAAGGGAAAUGAAUGAAGAUUUAUUCAUUUAUUAAUAAAGUAAUGUGGGCAGCCAUUUGAUAAUUCUAAUUUCUGAUUUAGUCUUUAAAGUUGACUUAUUUGCAUACAUUUUUAAAAGUCUGUGCUGUUGCCAAGUGACUUGGAACUACACAGCAUAGUUUACUUACAAAUUAGAUGAAAGCCUCUUUUAAAAUGUCUGCACAUAUUGUACUUUUUUUCUCUUAAAAAUAAGCCAUUGUUGAUUUAUUUUUGGACAGGUGAUAUUUGUGAAUGGAACAAAAUAUAAAAGGAAGGAUAUGGCAUACAGUAAGUCAGUCUCUCCUGGCCACCCAGUUCCUCUCCCUGGCACCAACCACUUUUGACUAGCAUUUUGUGUAUCUUCUCAGGGGGAGUCUAUGCAUGUACAAGGAUAUGCAUUUAUUAUUGGUGUUAUUGGUAUGCAAUUGUAGCAGACUCGUUUUUAAUGACUACAUAGUAUUCUAUUGCAUGGACAUAGCAUAAUUUAUUUAGUCAGCCAUCCUAUCGAUAGAUAUUGAGGUUGUUCGUAAUCUUUUUGCUAUUGCAAGCAAUGACUGCAAUGAUUAUGUUUUAUACACUCAUCCACCUUGUGGUGAAUAUAUCUGUAGGGUAAAUUCUUAAAUAUGGAAUUGUUUGGUCAGAGUAUAUGAGUUUAUAAUUUUGAUAAUUAUUGCCCAAAUGCCCCCUUCAGAGAUCGCACUAAUUUGCAUUCCCACCAGUAAUGUAUUUCCCCAUACUUUAGCUGACACAAUGUGUUCUCAAACCUUUGCCACUCUGAGAGAUGAAUAUUGGUAUCUCAUGGUAACUUUAAUUUGCCUUUCUCUUAAGAGUCAAUUUGAGCGUGUUUUUGUAUGUUUAAAGGCUGUUUGAAUUUUUUUCUGUGAACUGUCUAUUCAUAUCCUUUACUCAUUUUUUGAGUAGAUUGUUGAUCCUAUUUUAUUUUUAUACCUUAUUUUGCAACCAUAAUGUUAAGUUCAUUUUAGCCUCUGAACUCAAAUACCAUUUGUCAAUCAUUAGUCCAAAUAAAAAAAAAGUGGAGCCACUUAAUAAUCCUAACGCACAGUUUGAAACAUAAUUCAUUGAUGCCUGACUUUUCCUUCUCAACUAGUUUUAAUCUCAAAUUUUAAUGGGAACUGUCCUCACUCCUUAGGCCCAGUCAGGGUCAAAGAGUCCUGGGUUUUAUUUGUUUUAUUUGAACCCCAGGAGAGUUGCUUGUCUGAAGCUCUGUUUUAGCAAUAGAUUAUUUAUACAAACUCUCUGAUAAAUUUUAACUCAUUAAAUAGCAGCGUUAAUAUACUCAUCUAGCACCACAUUCCCUGCCUUCUGCAUGAGCAGAGGAGAGAGAGUGAUACUAUUAAAUAUUCAAAAGCCUUUAUCCUUAUCCCAACCCCUCCAUAGGAAGAUGCUAUCUUGCCUGGGCUAGGUGUAGUGGCUCACACCUGUAAUCCCAGUGCUUUGGGAGGCCAAGGUGGGAGGAUCACUUGACACCCAGAGUUCAAGACCAGCCUGGGCAACAUAGUGAGACCCCAUCUCUACAAAAAUAAAACUAAAAAAAUUAGCCAGGUGUUGCAGGCACCUGUAUUCCUAGCUACUCAAGAGGCUGAAGUGGGAGGAUCACUUGAGCCCAGGAGUUUGAGGUUACAGUGAGCUAUUAUCAGGUCACUGCACUCUAGCCUGGGAGACAGAGCGAGACCCUUUUUUUUUUGAGACAGGGUCUCACUCUGUCACCCAGGCUGGAGGGCAGUGGCGAAAUCUUGGAUCACUGCAACCUCUGCCUCCUAGUUUCAAGUGAUUCUCCUACCUCAACCUCCCGAGUAGCACGCCUGGCUAAUAUAUAUAUAUUUUUUUAAUGGAGACAGUGUUUCACCAUAGUGGCCAGGCUGGUCUCGAAAACCUGACCUCAAUUGAUCCACCUGCCUCGGCCUACCAAAGUGCUGGGAUUACAGGCAUGAGCCACCAUACCCAGCCAACCCUGUCUCUUAAAGAAGAAGAAGAAGGGAGAGGAGGAGGAGGAGGAGGAUGAGAAGGAGGAGGAGGAGGAGGAGGAGGAGAAGGAGAAGAAGAGAAGGAAGAGGCAGAGGGGGAGGAGGAGGAGGACUAGAAGGAGGAGGAGGAAUUAUCUUAUUAUCUUGCCCAUUAAAUAAAAAAGCGUAAAAGUCCCUUGCUUCUUUCUUUUUCAGAAUGGGGAUAGUUUAAAAGUGUCUGUUUGCAAUCCCCAAAUAUCAUAUUGCUUUUGGCAGCUGAUAUUCUUUAGCAGCUGAUUAAGUGAUACAUAUUUUACACAAAACAGAAUAUCCUGAAUCAAAGGGAUUUUGAAUAUUUAUUUGAACUGGCUUUAUCUCAGGUAUAUAUCUGGAAUUCACUGAAAAUAAAAUGGGUGGUAAGGACUCAAAGAUGACAGAGGAUAGCAACAACAAUAACAAGAUGGAGAUCAGGAAGUAGGUAUGCAAAUACCUGUAGGUUGGAUGUAUAUAGGAAAAGCUACCAUAUCAAACUGGGCAGAAGCAACCAAUCCAGAAAAAUAACUUCUAGCAUCCAAUCAUAUUGUGGUGAGAUUAAACUCACAAGAAAGUUAAAUGAGGUUUAGAGAACAUAUUCUCAACCCAUACAUACUUCAUUGGAGCAACUCUUGUUAAUCUUAAGGGGAAUUAUGGAACUCCAUUCUUCCUUCUUAUUUAGAAGAAAAUAGAUUCAAGGCCAAAUUUGUAGGCCAAAUUGAAGAUAUAACGAGAUUUUUUUUUUAACUCAUCGUCUUUGCCAAAUUCUCUAGAACAUAAAACCUGAGGCAAAGAUUACUUGCUAAGUCUAUGUUGGGUGGUGCAAUUUCAGGGCUAUAAAAGGGAAUGAGAAAAAGGUGAGGCAGGAAAGGAAGGAAUGCAAAUACUAGACGGUGUGUUAAGGAGCUGGACAUAACUUCACAAAGAACAAAGCCUGUUGCUGGGUCCUGCAUGUCACCUUGAAACAGUCCAUCAGGUGGGGAGGGCAGUGGGAGGAGCAAUGGGGGGAGAAAGAGGAAUUUAUCUUCUUGACCUCUAGUCCCUUGAUUCAAAAUUUAACUCUGAUUUAAGGGAGCCGUUGGGUAAGCCAGAUUCCACAUCCCACUAAACUGCCUGGAAGAGGUGGGAGGAGAGCAGCCAUUAAGGUAUGAGGUACAGAGUCCCAUCAGGUGAGACCCAUGUCUGUAGCCACUGAGGUUCCUGUUGCAACAGGUGAGAUGUGAUCUUCCCAAAGCCCCAGCUUCUUCCGCAGGAGGCUGAGACAGCAGGCCCACGGAUGUCCAUUCAGGAAGAGGCUAAGGCUUGGGGGUCAGGUGAAGAAUCUUGAGAGACACAAAAAUUGUUCUAGUAUAGUCAUGACUUAAAAUUAUAAAGAAUAAUUUUCAAGUCUUUUAGCAAAUCCAUGAAUUGGUGUUUUUGUGGAGAUAUGAAUGACUUUCAGUAAAAGAGUCACCGAAUCAUAAUAGGUAUGGAGGUGGAAAUUCUAUUAUUAAGAUUUAUGAUUACUGAAAUAUUUUCAUGAUUACUCAGAUCCAUUUCUGGACUGACCUUAUGCUUAACCAGAUGAUGUUUAUUAUUAAAGCUGAUUUUUAACGAGUGUUCAUUAAUAAAAAAUGCUCUUAACCACAAGGCUUUGUUUCCAAGUGAUGUAUAAUAAUAUGUGCUAAAACACGAAUCUCAAUUUCCAGAUGCAUAUUUUACCAAAACACCUAUUGCACUAAGGAAAAUAUGACAAAUUCUUUUUUUUGUUUGUUUUUUUCCUUUUUCCCUUUGCUUUUUAUUGCUCAGGAAACUAUGAUUGAUUGAGUUUAUGAACACAUGAACAGGCAAGCACGUACACUUAAAAGAUGAAACAAAGAAAAAAGUUGAUCCAUGUCAUUCCAUGAGAAAGGCUGCCCGCAGCACUCCAGCUCAAACACAGUGUCCCCUCAAGCUCUCUAUCCCCCUCCCCACUCCCUCACCUUCCCUCUGAUUCAGGGAAAUCAGAUUGGGAGGUUAGUGCAUCAUUGACAGAGAAUGCCCUCCUUCCACGCUCUGUAAGUCUCCCCCAGAAGCGGGGAAGGCAGUUCCCUUCAGUAGCGCACUUAGGGUUGAUUAGUGUUGGUUCCACAAGUUAAGGCACUUCAGGCUGCUUUAGUGGCAGCGUGGUUCCUCCCCUCCUUUUUUAAGGCAUGUGUCCUCUAAGAGUAGUAAAGCUUUGGAAACUGUGCAGACUGUUAAAGUUGACAGCUUAAUACAGGAUCAUUGAAGUCAGCAGGCAAAAGGAUCCUCGGAGACACCUCCCUCAGACCAGAAGCUUCCAGAAGGCCUGGGCAGCUCUGUGUUUCGGCUGGGCAUGGCACACUGGAGCCCCCCGAGGCCAGAGGGUGGUGCGUUCAGGUAGCAAAGACAGGUGGGCUCCGUCCCGCCUUCACCUGCAGCUGCCCUGGCUGCUGGUGGAGAAAAUAUGACAAAUUCUAAUUUUUCUGCACAUUAAUGUGCUGUGGUAUAGGUCUAAGGGAGGGGGCGCAGAUGGUGGUGAUGGAAGUGGAAACAAAAAAAUCAAUGAAAGAGACUCUUGAUAAAACAAGCGUCAUAUAUCUAAAAAUAAAAUAAUAACAAAUGGUUAUCCUAGCGUAUACAUCCAGAUGACAUUUGGAAAUUUGCAUAGAAGUAACAGAAGGGCUAAAUGAAGCCUUCUGGAAAAGUCAUAGUCUUUCAAACUUUAUGUACUCUUGGAUUCUAGAAACUCACUUCAGUUAUUUAAGUGAAAUGACCAGAAUUAGUGUCAUCUCCAUACAUUGAGCAGGAAGUUAACUUUGAGGAACUAUACAUGAGCACUUGUCCCUGAGGUUGUAGUAUCUUUAUGUCCUUUCCACGCCCUCGCCACAAAAAGCCCCAGCAAGAACAAUCAAUGUUUUCCUGCUUAACCCGUAUUUUUAUCUGAAUGUACAUUCUCCCUCCUCCCUCUUCCCUCUAGGCAUUUGCUAGGCCCUUAGGAGGUCAGGCAACUUGCACUGUGGCACAUGAAGAAUAUUCACAUACUUCAUAUCCUGCAGGAGAAAGGAGACAGCACAAGAAAUUCUGUUGUCACUAAUUGAAAGUAGUUUAUCACUUUAUCUUUAGAAGGUCUAAUGCCAAAACUUCAAGGAGAUAAUAAAUAGUCCAGUCUGGGUUUGAGCCUGGAGUUUGGAUGUCUAAGAUGACUCCGAGCGGAUGUGGAUUUACGUGUUAGUACCUGAAAGUGGGCACAGCCCCCACCUUGGAAUGAAUGUACACUUCCAAAGGACUCGUUCCCACAGGGUGGUGGAAGGAACAACAGAGACAGCUAUGUGCCCACAUGCUCAGCCAUCUGCCAUUCCAACCACAUGUCUCUCCCCCCGUUUCCUGCAAAUGAUUCAUCUAUUCUUUUUCUCCUUCUUCAAAGAUAACUCUGUAAGCACUUAAGGAGGGGAAAGUCAUUAAGAAAAGUGGAAUCUGGAGUUAUUAGGAUGAGAUAGAGCAGAUUAAACAGUCUGGAAUUUCACAAAGCAAACAGCACAGGGUGCGGACCCUGGGCCCGUCUCUCUCCUGCUGGUGCAUCAUUUCACAGGUUAUCAUCCUUCAUGAACAGGUCAACAAAAAUGGCCACAGGUAAACAUGAGCAUAUGAGUUGCUAAAGAGAAAGAAAGACAGAGAACAGCAGAAGUCAGGAGGAUUCUGGAUUUUCCAACUGGAGCCUCUGUGCAUCUUAUCCAGCAUCACAGACAGUGUCUGUCGCUAAGUGAUGCCAAAGGUUUUACACCAAUGAAUGGGAUCUUUGUGACGUUUUCCCAAUAACAGACCAAAAAGCUGCCACUAAAAUCAUGCUUUUAAAGGAGAUCCUGAACAAUAGCCAGUGAAGGUGAUUAUGGCCAUGUCCCCAUGUCCAUGAGGAGGUGCUUGGUGGGUAUUUGUUGAAUUGCAUCAAACUGGAGUUGGAUGGGACUCAGUUCAAAUCCUGACUCUGCUUCCAGCUUCUGGUACAUUAGGCAAGUUGCUAAACCUCUGGGCUUAGGGGAUAAAGACACUACCUCACAGGGUGGAGUGAGGAGUAGAAGAUAAUAUACGUGAAGUACUUCAUGUGGUCUUUGGAAAGAGGUAGAUAGAUAGGCAAAUAUCAGGUGAUUACAAAUACUCCUUAUAAUUUCACUUCAGUUUGUACCGCAUCUCACACCCUGAAGCUAGCAGGGUAAAGAGCUCUCAGGAGAAUGAAGAGGCCUCUGGCCCAUUCUAGUAUGGUCUCUCCCAUCAGGAGGGGAAAGGCAAAUAUUGCAUGGGACCUGGCAAUAAGAUUGAAUGAGACAUAAGCAAAGUCUGAUCGCAUCCUUAUCCCCACCCCUUAACAGCCACUAUAUCCCUUGAGGCAAGUGAAGGGCCCCAGAAGUGAGGGAUCUUAUUGCUAAGUAGAUCAGACAGAGUUCUUAAAGAUUCUAAUAUGUUGCCUGUAUUGUCUCAUCUGUAAAAUGGGUGUUAAAAUAGCACUCAUAUCUUGGGUUAUGAAGAUGAAAGAAGAUAAUCUAUGUAAAGGACUGAGCACAGGGCCUGGGACAGUUAGUGAUAGAUACAUGUUAGCUACUGUUGCUAUUUUGUAUUCCAUGUUCAAUCUAUGAUAUUGAUUAACCUGUUUAUUGAUUGCUGGAUUUUCAUUUAGUAAAUUAAUUUUCAAUAAAUGAUUUUCACUUAAGCAUUUGUUCACGCAGUCACUUCAUUCAUUUAUUUAUCAUAAAACAUUUAUCAAGGUCCUAUUCUAUACUGACACUAUGCUGGGCUCAAGAGAUGCUGAGGCUUUUUGGGCAAGAAGGUUGAAGACUAGGCAGGGAGAGAGACCUGAACUAAAGCAGGAGAAGGCAAGGUGUAGUAUACACAUCAUGGAGACAUGUAUAAAGCAUUCCUGGAACCCAGAGGAACCAGGAAGUGCUGCUCAUAAAAGAUGCUUUUUGAACUAGAUCUUGAAGAGUGAGUAGCCCGAGGAGUUUGGGCUUGCGAAUUCUAGAUAACAAGAACAGCUUGCCAAAAGGGAUAAAGUUGUGAAACAAACAAACAAACAAAAAACAGGGUUUGGAGCCAGGAGGACUUUGGUGUGAGUGGUGUUUGGCCAUUCUGCCUGGUGCCUUCCUUUGAAUUUAGGUUCGACCCCCUGUGGGGGCCACAGAGAGUCACCUGCAGCUCAGUCUUACCCCAGGUGCUGGGCCCAAGUCUGCUCUUAGAGGAAAUGUAAGUAGCUUAUAUCACUCAGUAUCGGGUCAGCUAGGCUCUGGGUUCUGUUCUGAGCUCCUGCUCUAUUUCUAGCUGUGAAGUUUCCACUUGAUUCCUGUCACAGGCUCUACCUUGUAUUCCAGUUCAAAUAACUGGGCUUUGGCCUUUGUUCUUUCUUCUACAUUCUGCCUCUAAGUUUCUCUAAGACUGGAAUUUUGCCUUUCCUUAUCAGUCCUUCCUAGAACUUCAGUCCCUCCCAGAACUUCAGUCCCCUCCUUGGCCCUGGGGCCUCACUCCAGGCUGCUUGAUCCACUUAUGGUUAUUGCUUGCUGGGUUCACCUUCUUCUCCUUUCUGCAGGUGGAACACAGACUGAUGACAACCACGUGCUGAGAUCCCCUGUUACUGCCUAGACACAAAUUGCUAUCUAGGUCCUGUUUCACUGCCUGGCAGAACUGCCUUGCUACUUCUGGUUUGGCUCGCCAUUGCCUGAAUUCCUAAACUCCAUUCUGAAUAUUACUAGUGAAAAAUGCACGGCAGGGCGCAGUGGCUCAUGCCUGUAACCCCAGCCCUUUGGGAGGCUGAGGCAGGUGACUCACCUGAGGUCAGGAGUUCGAGACCAGCCUGGC